GAUGAACGCUGGCGGCGUGCCUAAUACAUGCAAGUCGAGCGGUAAGGCCCUUCGGGGUACACGAGCGGCGGACGGGUGAGUAACGCGUAAGAAUCUACCCCAAACUGAGGGAUAACUGCUCGAAAGAGUAGCUAAUACCGCAUGUGCUCUACGGAGUAAAGCUACGGCGGUUUGGGAAGAGCUUGCGUACGAUUAGCUAGUUGGUAAGGUAAUGGCUUACCAAGGCGACGAUCGUUAGCUGGUCUGAGAGGAUGAUCAGCCACACUGGGACUGAGACACGGCCCAGACUCCUACGGGAGGCAGCAGUAGGGAAUUUUCCACAAUGGGGGCAACCCUGAUGGAGCAACGCCGCGUGCAGGAUGAAGGCCUUCGGGUUGUAAACUGCUUUUGUCUGUGACGAAUAUGACGGUAGCAGACGAAUAAGGAUCGGCUAACUACGUGCCAGCAGCCGCCGCAG
rnacentral:rRNA from 1 species